GGUAGCGUGGCCGAGUUGGUCUAAGGCGUUGGAUUUAAGAAUUGAUUCUGAAUCCCAAUGGGCGAAAGUCCGCGCGAGUUCGAACCUCGCCGCUACCA